GGAGGAACAACCUGCCACACGCUGGAAAGUGAAGGCUGGAGCCUGGAGCCUGGGACGUGGCGGCUGGCUUCGCUGCGGUGGCUGGUGCUUUGGAGGAGUAGGAAGCCAUCAUUCUUCAGAAGGCAAUGACGGAACAGUACCAGCAGCAACUGAAGGACCAGCAGAAGAAUUUCCCUGGCUAAUACCUCCAGUACACUGCUGAGUAGAGUGGUUAAAGUGGAAAUUCUUGCCUUCUCAAACUUUCAGCUUGGGAGCAGCAGAGACGGGGACCUUGGCCUUGGCAAUGGCAGAAGGCCUUUCACUUGUUUCUUGGGGUACCACCUCAGAGAUAUGCAGACCUGCUGCCAAUCAGAUUGAUCAGUCAGGUAUGGAGCAGCUACGUUGUGGGCCCACGCUGGGACCCCUGCCUGGUAAAGAGCAGGGGAUUUGGGGCCAAUAGGGAAGAGAGACUGGGCUCUUCUCCAUCUGUUGGCUGUGGCCUGCUAGAGGCAUGAGCAAAACACUCAGGCUGUUUGUUUCUUCCCCAGCCUGAGGGCAGCAAGGGCAGGAUCACUGCAGCAGUAAUGGCAGAAGGGUUGUCAGUUGCCUCCGGGAACUCCACCCUAGAGAGGCACAGAGCCUCUGUCAGUGAGAAUGUUCAGCCAAGGGUGAGGUGGCUGCACUGUGUGCUUAAGCGCAGGGUUCCACCUGGUGAAGAGAAGGGAGCCAGAAGCCCACAGAGAAGAGAGACUGGGCUUCUCUCCAUCUUGUGGUUGUGGCAUGCUGGAAGUGCUAGCAAAGCAAUCAGGGUCUUCAUUCUUUUCCCAGACCAAGGCCAACAAUGGUGGUACUGCUACAGUGGCAAUGGCGGGGAGCCUAUGGGUUGCCUCUGAAAGCUCCAUUGCGGAGAGAUGCAGAGAUGGUCACUGCCUGAAGUAACCCAUGGGAGUAGUCGGGGGCAGAAUGGCUGUGCUGGGGGCCCACGUCAGGAGACUCUAUACAGUGAAGAGUAGCAGGGAAGGGGACCCACGUGGAAAACAGUUUGUCUACUUUUUCUGUAAGGCAACCGUGGUAUGCUGGAAGCCUAUAGUAGUUCUUGGGCUCUUUAGUUCUUCCCUAGCCUAUGAGAGGUAGAGCCUGGGGCCAUGGCAAUUGCAGAAACAGCAGGCUUGUCAGUUACCUCUGGGAGCUCUGUCUGCAGAGUUGCAACCAGCCUGAGUGCUUAAGUAGGGGUUAAGUGGCUGCGCUGGGACCCAGGCCAGAGGGCAUUUCUAGGCGAGGUGUAGUGGAAGUGGGGCCUCUAUAGGAGAUAGAGUAGAGACAGGAGGUGAGUCUGCUCCUCAGCAUUGUAGGUAUGGCCCCUAUCCUGGGGGCAUGUGAGAGAGCCUGUCCUCCCCUAGUGGCAGAGCUUUAGCAACUGGCAGUGUUGUGGUCAGGAGUCCAAGGCCCUUAGGAUUCCAUGUGGCCCUGACUGGAGGGUCUGCCCAGACUCCAUGCAGCUCUCUGUGUCAGUUGAGGAGCCCUGUGGGGAAGGUGUUGGGGGAUUUUCUGGGCCCAGGAUUUCAAAGAUCAAUGGCAGAAGGGUGAGUCACCAGCAGCUCUUGCUUACUCACCAUUUUCCUACAGUGGAGAGCCUCUCUUAGCUCAACACCAAUUCUGGCUGGGUGGCUUUCCUGUUUCACUCCUCUCUGCUCUUUGUGGGUCACAUUUCUUCCUUGAUAAAUUCUCCAUUUUAAAACUUUACAUACAUUUAUGGAAUCCAAUUGCAAUUUUGUUACAUGCAUGGAUUGCAUAGUGCUAUCAAGGUUCAUCUAUAGCAUUAUCAGAAUUUUAUUUUUUAAAAAAGAUUUAUAGAGAUGAAGUUUUGCU